UUCCAGUGUGGUCUUUAUGGCUGUCUGUA
rnacentral:piRNA from 1 species